rnacentral:rRNA from 1 species
UACGUAGGGUGCGAGCGUUAAUCGGAAUUACUGGGCGUAAAGUGUGCGCAGGCGGCAAAGCAAGUCGAGUGUGAAAGCCCCCGGGCUUAACUUGGGAAUUGCGCUCGAAACUACUUUGCUGGAGUGUGGCAGAGGAAGGUGGAAUUCCACGUGUAGCGGUGAAAUGACGUAGAGAUGUGGAGGAACACCAAUGGCGAAGGCAGCCUUC